CCUACGGGAGGCAGCAGUAAGGAAUAUUGGUCAAUGGACGCAAGUCUGAACCAGCCAUGCCGCGUGAAGGAUUAAGGUCUUCUGGAUUGUAAACUUCUUUUAUAUGGGACGAAAACAGAUCUUUCUAGGUCCUUUGACGGUACCAUAUGAAUAAGCACCGGCUAACUCCGUGCCAGCAGCCGCGGUAAUACGGAGGGUGCAAGCGUUAUCCGGAUUCACUGGGUUUAAAGGGUGCGUAGGCGGGUAGGUAAGUCAGUGGUGAAAUCCUGGAGCUCAACUCCAGAACUGCCAUUGAUACUAUCUAUCUUGAAUAUUGUGGAGGUAAGCGGAAUAUGUCAUGUAGCGGUGAAAUGCUUAGAUAUGACAUAGAACACCCAUUGCGAAGGCAGCUUACUACGCAUAUAUUGACGCUGAGGCACGAAAGCGUGGGGAUCAAACAGGAUUAGAUACCCUGGUAGUCCACGCCCUAAACCGAUGGAUACUCGACAUACGCGAUACACAGUGUGUGUCUGAGCGAAAGCAUUAAGUAUCCCACCCUGGGAAGUACGUUCGCAAGAAUGAAACUUAAAUAGAAUUGACGG
rnacentral:rRNA from 1 species